rnacentral:rRNA from 1 species
UACGUAGGGCGCAAGCGUUGUCCGGAAUUAUUGGGCGUAAAGAGCUCGUAGGCGGCUUGUCGCGUCUGCUGUGAAAACCCGAGGCUCAACCUCGGGCCUGCAGUGGGUACGGGCAGACUAGAGUGCGGUAGGGGAGAUUGGAAUUCCUGGUGUAGCGGUGGAAUGCGCAGAUAUCAGGAGGAACACCGAUGGCGACGGCAGAUCUCUGGGCCGUAACUGACGCUGAGGAGCGAAAGCAUGGGUAGCGAACAGG